AGAGUUUGAUUCUGGCUCAGGAUGAACGCUGGCGGCGUGCCUAAUACAUGCAAGUCGAACGGAGAUUCUGCCGUAAUUCGUUACAGCGGAAAUCUCAGUGGCGAACGGGUGAGUAACGCGUUGGUGACCUGCCCCGGAGAGGGGAAUAACAGCUUGAAAGGGCUGCUAAUACCCCAUGAUGUCUAAAGGGUUAGAAACCUCUAGACGAAAGGCUUCGGUCGCUUCGGGAGGGGCCUGCGUCCCAUCAGCUAGUUGGUAGGGUAAUGGCCUACCAAGGCGAAGACGGGUAGGGGACCUGAGAGGGUGACCCCCCACAAUGGAACUGAAACACGGUCCAUACACCUACGGGUGGCAGCAGUAGGGAAUAUUGCACAAUGGGCGAAAGCCUGAUGCAGCAACGCCGCGUGCGCGAAGAAGGCCUUCGGGUUGUAAAGCGCUUUUCGGGGAGAAGAGAAAGGACGGUAUCCCCGGAAUAAGGAUCGGCUAACUACGUGCCAGCAGCCGCGGUAAAACGUAGGAUCCGAGCGUUAUCCGAAUUCACUGGGCGUAAAGCGCGUGUAGGCGGUUCGGUAAGUUGGAUGUGAAAGCUCCCGGCUCAACUGGGAGAGGACGUUCAAAACUGUUGGACUAGAGGGCGGAAGAGGGAGGUGGAAUACCCGGUGUAGUGGUGAAAUGCGUAGAUAUCGGGAGGAACACCAGUUGGCGAAGGCGGCCUCCUGGGCCGCACCUGACGCUCAGACGCGAAAGCUAGGGUAGCAAACGGGAUUAGAAACCCCGGUAGUCCUAGCCGUAAACGAUGUAGACUUGGUGUUGGUGGGGUAAAAGCCAUCAGUG
rnacentral:rRNA from 1 species